UACAGAGGUCUCAAGCGUUGUUCGGAUUCAUUGGGCGUAAAGGGUGUGUAGGUGGCGCGCUAAGUCGGGUGUGAAAUUUCGGAGCUUAACUCCGAAACUGCAUUCGAUACUGGCGUGCUUGAGGACUGGAGAGGAGACUGGAAUUCAUGGUGUAGCAGUGAAAUGCGUAGAGAUCAUGAGGAACACCGGUGGCGAAGGCGGGUCUCUGGGCCGUAACUGACGCUGAGGAGCGAAAGCGUGGGGAGCGAACAGG
rnacentral:rRNA from 1 species